rnacentral:rRNA from 1 species
UAGGGAAUCUUCGGCAAUGGGGGCAACCCUGACCGAGCAACGCCGCGUGAGUGAAGAAGGUUUUCGGAUCGUAAAGCUCUGUUGUAAGAGAAGAACGAGUGUGAGAGUGGAAAGUUCACACUGUGACGGUAACUUACCAGAAAGGGACGGCUAACUACGUGCCAGCAGCCGCGGUAAUACGUAGGUCCCGAGCGUUGUCCGGAUUUAUUGGGCGUAAAGCGAGCGCAGGCGGUUAGAUAAGUCUGAAGUUAAAGGCUGUGGCUUAACCAUAGUACGCUUUGGAAACUGUUUAACUUGAGUGCAAGAGGGGAGAGUGGAAUUCCAUGUGUAGCGGUGAAAUGCGUAGAUAUAUGGAGGAACACCGGUGGCGAAAGCGGCUCUCUGGCUUGUAACUGACGCUGAGGCUCGAAAGCGUGGGGAGCAAACAGGAUUAGAUACCCUGGUAGUCCACGCCGUAAACGAUGAGUGCUAGGUGUUAGACCCUUUCCGGGGUUUAGUGCCGUAGCUAACGCAUUAAGCACUCCGCCUGGGGAGUACGACCGCAAGGUUG